rnacentral:rRNA from 1 species
CGAGUCUUAACUGGGCGAAUAAGUUGCAGGGUAUAGACCCGAAACCCGGUGAUCUAGCCAUGGGCAGGUUGAAGGUUGGGUAACACUAACUGGAGGACCGAACCGACUAAUGUUGAAAAAUUAGCGGAUGACUUGUGGCUGGGGGUGAAAGGCCAAUCAAACCGGGAGAUAGCUGGUUCUCCCCGAAAGCUAUUUAGGUAGCGCCUCGUGAACUCAUCUUCGGGGGUAGAGCACUGUUUCGACUAGGGGGUCAUCCCGACUUACCAACUCGAUGCAAACUACGAAUACCGAAGAAUGUUAUCACGGGAGACACACGGCGGGUGCUAACGUUCGUCGUGAAGAGGGAAACAACCCAGACCGCCAGCUAAGGUCCCAAAGUCAUAGUUAAGUGGGAAACGAAGUGGGAAGGCUCAGACAGCCAGGAUGUUGGCUUAGAAGCAGCCAUCAUUUAAAGAAAGCGUAAUAGCUCACUGGUCGAGUCGGCCUGCGCGGAAGAUGUAACGGGGCUAAACUAUGCACCGAAGCUGCGGCAGCGAUAUGUAAAUAUUGUUGGGUAGGGGAGCGUUCUGUAAGCCUGUGAAGGUGUGCUGUGAGGCAUGCUGGAGGUAUCAGAAGUGCGAAUGCUGACAUAAGUAACGAUAAUGCGGGUGAAAAACCCGCACGCCGGAAGACCAAGGGUUCCUGUCCAACGUUAAUCGGGGCAGGGUGAGUCGACCCCUAAGGCGAGGCAGAAAUGCGUAGUCGAUGGGAAACGGGUUAAUAUUCCCGUACUGGUGAUAAUUGCGAUGGGGGGACGGAGAAGGCUAGGCUAUCCGGGCGACGGUUGUCCCGGUUUAAGGAUGUAGGCAGGUGAAUUAGGCAAAUCCGGUUCACUAUAUGC